rnacentral:rRNA from 1 species
CAGCCGCCACGGUAAAACGAAGGGGGCUAGCGUUGCUCGGAUUUACUGGGCGUAAAGGGCGCGUAGGCGGACAGUUAAGUUGGGGGUGAAAGCCCGGGGCUCAACCUCGGAAUUGCCUUCAAUACUGGCUGUCUUGAGUAUGAGAGAGGUGUGUGGAACUCCGAGUGUAGAGGUGAAAUUCGUAGAUAUUCGGAAGAACACCAGUGGCGAAGGCGACACACUGGCUCAUUACUGACGCUGAGGCGCGAAAGCGUGGGGAGCAAACAGGAUUAGAUACCCGUGUAGUCCCUGUCUCUUAUAC